UAGUCCUACGGGAGGCAGCAGUGGGGAAUAUUGCACAAUGGGCGAAAGCCUGAUGCAGCAACGCCGCGUGAAGGAAGAAGGGUUUCGGCUCGUAAACUUCUCUCAACAGGGACGAAAGAAAUGACGGUACCUGAAUAAGAAGCCCCGGCUAACUACGUGCCGGCAGCCGCGGUAAUACGUAGGGGGCAAGCGUUAUCCGGGAUUACUGGGUGUAAAGGGUGAGUAGGCGGCAUGGGAAGCCAGAUGCGAAAGCCUUGGGCUUAACCCGAGGAUUGCAUUUGGAACUAUCA
rnacentral:rRNA from 1 species